rnacentral:rRNA from 1 species
UUCUAUUAGAAUUUAUUAAUAGUAUAAUCUGCUCAAUGAAACUAAAUAGCCGCAAGUAUUUGUGCUAAGGUAGCAUAAUCACUCGUUUUUUAAUUGAAAACUGGAACAAAAGAUUGAACAUUUAAAUUUAUUUCAUAAAUUUAAAAUUUUAAUUUAUCUUAAAUGUUAAAAGACAUUUAUUUUAAAGAAAGACGAUAAGUCCCUAUUGAACUUUACUCAAGUUUAACUGGGGCAGUUAAUUAAUUAUUAUCUUAAUUUUUCUAUGAAAAAAGACCUAAUAUAAUUAAUAAAAUAAUCAAGUUACCAUAGGGAUAACAGCGUAAUAAUUAUUUAAAGUCCUUAUUUAAAUAAAUGAUUGCGACCUCGAUGUUGAAUAAUAACCUACACUUACGCAAAGGUAAUAAAAGGAGGUCUGUUCGACCUUUAAAAAAUUACA